CACGUAGGGUGCGAGCGUUGUCCGGAAUUACUGGGUGUAAAGAGCUCGUAGGCGGUGUGUCGCGUCGGCCGUGAAAACCUGCAGCUUAACUGUGGGCGUGCGGGCGAUACGGGCAGACUGGAGUACUGCAGGGGAGACUGGAAUUCCUGGUGUAGCGGUGGAAUGCGCAGAUAUCAGGAGGAACACCGGUGGCGAAGGCGGGUCUCUGGGCAGUAACUGACGCUGAGGAGCGAAAGCGUGGGGGAGCGAACAGGA
rnacentral:rRNA from 1 species